UUCUGGAAGCUUUCUCACACGCAGUGAAUGGCCCCUCGAACCAUUCUCUCGCUUGCUUGUAUGCAAGCGCGUCUCACCUGUAAUUGGAACAUCGUCCUUUCCUGCAAGUAGAUAAUACAUGUAGGAACCAGUCAGUUUGUUCAACCGCGCACUCGUCAAGUUCAGUGCCAUCUGAUAGAGGUGUGAUUCUAAGCGGCUGGAAAUCCUGUUCUAAAAGGCACGCAUUGCGCUUAGACUGCUUCCUACUAUACCUACAUUCUAUCUAGUUAGACUGACUCCAACGUUUUUCAGCAUGUGAGCUGACAUUAAGCGCUUCGAUGUGUUGUGAUUUGCGGCGUAGUAGCAGAGUCACGGUGUGUCUGAAACCGUUAUGGUCGAAAAAAAAAGAUAGGCUGCACUCAACACGCAAAAUGUGAAGAUGGAUUCUAUUUUGGAAGACCCCCUCCCUCAUCCUGGUUUGGAAAUCACUUCAUACUUCAGAUAGCUUGGAUUCAUGUUGCAGUUUGUGGCUUUGUUAUGGGGAAAGGUAUUCAAUAUCGGCAGAUAGACAUAUGUUUGCCAAAUUAAAUGUAAUUGUGGAAACAUUGUGCUAAAAGAUUAUGUAGCCGUCGGGACUUGAACGCACAAUUUCCAUUCUGUACACGGACGCGUUACCAAUUAUACUACAGCUACCCCAAGGAACAAUUGGUAGCUUUUAAGCUACUUACAUGUUUAAUACAAGCUGCAUAGCAGCAACCAUUGCUGAACAAAUUUUUAGUUGAAUCAUUAAUUGAAUAAAAUUAAUUCCUG